rnacentral:lncRNA from 1 species
AAAACAAACUAAUUAAAAUAAAAAUUUUAAGUAUUAUUGUUAUUAUUUAUUUACAUUUAAACAAAAACAAAACUUAGGUUCACCUCCUAGGGUGAACUUUUAAAUUCACUUUUUUUUUAUGACCAAUCAAAGUGCAACGUAGAUAAUUAAAUAAAAAUAUAAAAAUUAUUUAAAAAUAGCUAAAAAAAAGAGUAACACAAAUUUUAACGGUACCAAUACCGCCAGCUAAACCCUAAACCCUAAAUUUUAAAUUCUAAACCCUAAAUUUUAAACUUAAACUCUAGACCCUAAACCUAAAUUCAA